rnacentral:sRNA from 1 species
GGGAAGAGAAGGAGAGAGCAAAUGAAAAACUAGCGGAAAAAGGAAAUUAUAAAAGGGAGGGAGGUCAGCCAAUAAUUAUGUUACGUCAAGAAGAAAAAACCAAAACAGAAUACAGAGGAACUCUACAUAGUAGUAGUAUUGAGGAAAUCACACUACGGUUGGUGUGGUGACAUACAGAUUAAUAUAAUAUUUUGGUGGUGGCCAAAAAUUCAAGCAAGUUUAUUAAAUAAAUAAAUUCAAUUAGAACAGAAGCCGCCGGCGCCGAGUGAAGUAAUUUUUUGUGAUUGGAUUAGUAAAGGAACUAAAUAUUAAGCAUACAUAUAUAAAAAUUUAAUAACAAAAGCACAUACAUAUAGAGAAGUACAAGUGUUACCACCACCCCCUCCUCGUAGCACCCAACCCUCAACCAUUACGUGUGUUCUAUUGUGCAUUGUGUCGCCGUCGAUAAAAAAAUAUGUACUAGAAGUUAAUGUUUUGUGUGUUUAAAUACAAAAAAUAAAUUAAAUAAAGAAAAACUUUAGUAGCUUUGUUGUUGUUGUUGAUAUCAAUGAAGGGUGAUAAUUGGCGGACAAAGCAAUAUAUAAAUAAAAAGAGCAUUUUAUUAGAGUCCAUAAUCAACAACAGCAGCAGCAGACGUUUGGUUGGUUUAACCCAAACCAAUACACAUGUGACUUUCGUAAAUCUAACUUCUUAAGAAGAACAUCUACUAAAAAAAGCGAAAGAAAUUUAGUAAGGAACUGUGUUUUCAAUUCUUCACACACCCCCACACCCUGCCAAGUCGAAUAUCAAAAUGAUGAUUAAAAGCAAUUAGCAUUCUCUAUGUGCAUGCUGCUGUUAUUGUAAUUUAUUGUGGCGGACGGCGGGCUAGUCAAGCAUCAGUGUUUAUUAUUAAAUAAAUUACCAACAUCCCGUUUGAUAAAAACAAAAAACCUAAUAAAAUGGACGAAGUGUUUUCGCUGCAUACGGAAAAGUUUGAUUUAUAUGACGUACUUCUUCUGGCUGGCAUACUUUCGGUUAUUAUUUUACUAUGUAUUUGAGGGAAAUAUUAAGAUAUUUUGUUUUUUUGCAACACAUCCAAUGCACGUGCACUUCUUAUAUUUAUAUUAAAUGUAUAAUUUUGUUUUAAUUUGUAAACAAACAAAUUUUCUGUAUAUAUUGAGAGAAUAUUGUGAAAUUUAUCAGCAGCAGCAGCAGCGGGCAGCCAUCAACAACAACCAACAUAUGUUUGCUGUCAAACAAACGAUAACCGUGUUGCCAUAUCGUCAAAAUUAAAUUCGUAGACAAUAAAUAAUGUAGGAGAAAUAAAAUUCGUUCAUAUUUGUAGUGAAGAGAUAUUUUAAUUUUGUGAAAAGACUGAAGAUUCGAUAUUAUGUUUAAGAUGACAUGAGAAUAUGUAAUUAGAGAUAUUGAAUAAAAAUGUUUGGAAAGAAAAUUU